rnacentral:rRNA from 1 species
AUACGGAGGAUCCGAGCGUUAUCCGGAUUUAUUGGGUUUAAAGGGUGCGCAGGCGGCCAUUUAAGUCAGCGGUUAAAUCGUGGGGCUCAACCCCAUUCUGCCGUUGAUACUGGGUGGCUUGAUUGCGGUCGAGGUUGGCGGAAUUCGUUGUGUAGCGGUGAAAUGCAUAGAUAUGACGAAGAACACCGAUUGCGUAGGCAGCUGACCAUAACGUAAAUGACGCUCAUGCACGAAAGUGCGGGGAUCGAACAGGAUUAGAUACCCUGGUAGUCCGCACAGUAAACGAUGAAUACUUGUUUUCGGCGAUAUAAUGUCGGAGGCAAAGCGAAAGCGAUAAGUAUUCCACCUGGGGAGUACGCCGGCAACGGUGAAACUCAAAGGAAUUGACGGGG